rnacentral:rRNA from 1 species
GUGGCUUAAUUUGACUCAACGCGGAAAAGCUUAUCUGGUCCGGACACAGUGAGGAUUGACAGACAGUUGGCAGGAGUGGUUCUUGGUAAAAACAAAUGAGAGAGUUGAAGUUCUUUCAUGAUCUUGUGAGAGGUGGUGCAUGGCCGUUCUUAGUUCGUGUAGUGAUAUGUCUGCCUAAUCGCGUCACGAUAACCUAUUGGUCGACAACCCAAUUAUCACAACUGCAGCAUAACUCCCCUUGGGUGGGCGAGGCUCUGUGUAGGAUAGACCUCUGAACAGUACGCAACGAACGCGAUCGUAAUCCCUUGUUGAGUGGCCAUCCUGUAAGCUGCUGGAUUUGAAACCCAGUGGUAUUAUCUCAGCCACAGAUUUUCUGGUUGUAAUGGGCCAGUUUUGAAACUCGGGGAACAUCUGUGACUUUCUUUCUUAACGCAGAGGAAGGUUAUGGCAAUAACA